CAGUCGCCACGGUAAUACGGAGGGGGCUAGCGUUGUUCGGAAUUACUGGGCGUAAAGCGCACGUAGGCGGCUUGGUAAGUUAGAGGUGAAAGCCCGGAGCUCAACUCCGGAAUUGCCUUUAAGACUGCCGAGCUAGUAGGUGAGAGAGGUAAGUGGAAUUCCGAGUGUAGAGGUGAAAUUCGUAGAUAUUCGGAAGAACACCAGUGGCGAAGGCGGCUUACUGGCUCAUUCUAGACGCUGAGGUGCGAAAGCGUGGGGAGCAAACAGGAUUAGAUACCCGUGUAGUCCCUGUCUCUUAUAC
rnacentral:rRNA from 1 species